GCUACUGCGGAGAUCAUUACAGAGCGUGAGACUCUGCCCGGGCGCGUCCCGCGCGCAGAGUUGACCCUCCACCCGUGUUGACUUAUUUCAUGUUGCUUUGGCGGGCCCGGUGCUUUGCGCCGACCGGCUUCGUGCUGGGUCGUGUCCGCCAGAAACCCAACCUAACUCGUGUUGUCGUGUCGUCUGAAGUAGAAUGAUAUUGAAUUGUUAAAACUUUCAACAACGGAUCUCUUGGCUCUGGCAUCGAUGAAGAACGCAGCGAAAUGCGAUAAGUAAUGUGAAUUGCAGAAUUUAGUGAAUCAUCGAAUCUUUGAACGCACAUUGCGCCCCUUGGUAUUCCGAGGGGCAUGCCUGUUCGAGCGUCGUCACACCCCCUCAAGCCCCGCCGUGUGUGUGGUUUGGUGUUGGGGGAGCAUCUCUAAUUCGAAUUCGGAUUGACUCAGUGUAAUAGACUAUUCGCUGAGGACACACCUAGUGUGGCCGAAUAAGAUAAUUGUAGAAGCUUCUAACCCUUCUAGUCAUUUUAAGAUUAGACCUCAGAUCAGAUAGGACUACCCGCUGAACUUAAGCAUAUCAAUAAAAAGGAGGA
rnacentral:rRNA from 1 species